rnacentral:lncRNA from 1 species
AUACAUACAUACAUACAUACAUACAUACAUACAUACAUACAUACAUACAUAUACAUAUAUUCUCUGAAAUGAAAGACCCACACGAUGGAAAUACAGACUGUUUUAUUGAAUGUAUUUACAGCUGACUACAGAGGAGAACAAUAUUAAACAAGGCGUUGUGUAGUUUACAUCAUAUCUCGUGCGUUUUACAUUUGACAGCUCAGCUCCUCAAUACUCCAACAGACAGAACACCAUACAGUUCCUAAUUAAAGUUUCAGUUCCUUCCUUCUUCAAAGGGUUUUUGUCUAUUUAAUAAAAGCUAAAAGCAUAAUAGCAAAUGUUGAAUUCUUGUUAGAUUUAUUUAUUGAUGAACCUCUUUUACUUUAAAAGGUGCACGAUUGUAGCCUGGUCCCUGAUCUGUUUGUGCUGUCUUGGCAACUCUUAGACGGUCAUUAGAGUUGACAAGACAGCGCAAACAGAAAUGAGACCAGGCUAACUGAGACUGUGCAAGUGACUCUCAUUCUACACACUUUGCAUGGCAUCUCUGUCUUAGCAUGAGUUCCAAAUCAGAUUCAGAACAAGAUGACAAGAUAAUGACAAGAUAACCUACUGUACAGUUUGCCUGUCCAUAUCUCUCAUUCCAUUCAACAGAGUUCCUUCCUGUAGUAUCUCUUUCAUUCCCUUCUUGACUUCCCUCAGUCUAUCUCUCUCUCUCUCUCUCUCUCUCUCUCUUUCUCUCUGUCUUCAUCCCUCCCCCCACUUCACUCACAGUAACAGUCCACCAGUAAAAAAACAAAAAAUUGGGAAUACUUAAUGAGCUUGGUAGUUUAAAGCACCUGGCCACAUCACCUAAAUGGCUUAUGGUUCCUUCUAGAAGCCCGAGAUGUUACUGCUGUUAGCCUCUCUAGACAGACGGGUUGCCUUCAUACUUCCAUAAUACUUCACACACCACAUUCAGACCAGUGGGAUGAAUAGGCCUCGGGGAAAAGACCCGUGUCUACCUGGACAGGUAUAACCUACACCUGUCCAGGUUAACUGUAAAUUAUUCCAUUUGAAACCAGUUCAGAUCUUUUAGUUCUUUAAGAUCUUUACAUCUUAUGACACUGUAUAUUACGCUAACAUGCACAAGCGCGUUUUGGCAUGUAUGUAAUGUUGUUGCUUGAGGAAUGAAAGAAACGCUGGUGUGGGACAGGUAGACAGGUGGACAGGUGUAACCUACACCUGGGUUUGGGUUUGAGUAACAGAGAGUGGAGGAAUUAGUUAGAGAAGGAUGGGAUAAGGACGUCUGCCUAUAUUGAGGUGGAUGGUAGGACAGGGGUCACCUGACCCCAUCGCACUCCGGCCGGUUGGUCAGUCGGCAGGUAGUUAGAUUGGGAUAGGUAGUUAGAUUGGGAUAGGUAGUUAGAUUGGGAUAGGUAGUUAGAUUGGGAUAGGUAGUUAGAUUGGGAUCCAGUGGUGGAACAGGGGUAGGAUGAGUAGCAGGUAGUUAGAUUGGGAUAGGUAGUUAGAUUGGGAUAGGUAGUUAGAUUGGGAUCCAGUGGUGGAACAGGGGUAGGAGGAGUAACGGGUAGUUAGAUUGGGAUAGGUAGUUAGAUUGGGAUAGGUUGUUAGAUUGGGAUCGGUAGUUAGAUUGGGAUAGGUAGUUAGAUUGGGAUAGGUAGUUAGAUUGGGAUAGGUAGUUAGAUUGGGAUCCAGUGGUGGAACAGGGGUAGGAAGAGUAGCAGGUAGUUAGAUUGGGAUAGGUAGUUAGAUUGGGAUAGGUAGUUAGAUUGGGAUCCAGUGGAGGAACAGGGGUAGGAAGAGUAGCAGGUAGUUAGAUUGGGAUAGGUAGUUAGAUUGGGAUAGGUAGUUAGAUUGGGAUAGGUAGUUAGAUUGGGAUAGGUAGUUAGAUUGGGAUCCAGUGGAGGAACAGGGGUAGGAAGAGUAGCAGGUAGUUAGAUUGGGAUAGGUAGUUAGAUUGGGAUAGGUAGUUAGAUUGGGAUAGGUAGUUAGAUUGGGAUAGGUAGUUAGAUUGGUAUCCAGUGGAGGAACAGGGGUAGGAAGAGUAGCGGGUAGCUGAGACUUCCUCCCAGAUUGGAUGUGUUUCCUGUCACGUUGCAGUCAUUAAAGAAACAGCAGUGAAAUCUGACCCCUGGCAACCUGUAACCCUGACUGUUGGCCUGGCUACAGAAAGACUUGUAGGAGCAGGACUUCAUCACUCCGCCU